rnacentral:rRNA from 1 species
CCUACGGGUCGCAGCAGGCGCGAAAACUUUACAAUGCGGGAAACCGUGAUAAGGGAAUCUCGAGUGCCAGCAUAUAAUGUUGGCUGUCCAGAUGCCUAAAAAGCAUCUGUUAGCAAGGGCCGGGCAAGACCGGUGCCAGCCGCCGCGGUAACACCGGCGGCCCGAGUGGUAACCGCUAUUAUUGGGUCUAAAGGGUCUGUAGCCGGCCAGGUAAGUCCCUUGGGAAAUCUGGCAGCUCAACUGUCAGGCUGCUAGGGGAUACUGUUUGGCUUGGGACCGGGAGAGGUGAGAGGUACCUUGGGGGUAGGGGUGAAAUCUUGUGAUCCUCGGGGGACCACCAGUGGCGAAGGCGUCUCACCAGAACGGGUCCGACGGUAAGGGACGAAAGCUAGGGGCACGAACCGGAUUAGAUACCCUAGUAGUC